AUUGAACGCUGGCGGAAUGCUUUACACAUGCCAGUCGAACGGCAGCACGGGGGCAGCCCUGGUGGCGAGUGGCGAACGGGUGAGUAAUACAUCGGAACGUGCCCGGUCGUGGGGGAUAACGUAGCGAAAGUUACGCUAAUACCGCAUACGAUCUGAGGAUGAAAGCGGGGGACCUUCGGGCCUCGCGCGAUCGGAGCGGCCGAUGUCAGAUUAGGUAGUUGGUGGGGUAAAGGCCUACCAAGCCGACGAUCUGUAGCUGGUCUGAGAGGACGACCAGCCACACUGGGACUGAGACACGGCCCAGACUCCUACGGGAGGCAGCAGUGGGGAAUUUUGGACAAUGGGCGCAAGCCUGAUCCAGCCAUUCCGCGUGCAGGACGAAGACCUUCGGGUUGUAAACUGCUUUUGUACGGAACGAAAAGGCUCUGGCUAAUACCUGGGGCUCAUGACGGUACCGUAAGAAUAAGCACCGGCUAACUACGUG
rnacentral:rRNA from 1 species